rnacentral:lncRNA from 9 species
AUGUCAAGGCAUUUAUGUAAAAGCGUAAAUUCCAUUUGCCAAACCACGGGGUGUGCACGAUUGAUGAUAAAUCCUCGCCACACUCACUGUGCUGGUGAAUCCUGGCGCCAGGAUGGGGCUACCUUCCCUGUCCGAGGGUCACCAUGGUUUUUCCAUCCAAGAAUAAAACAACAGACAUGGUGCGGAUACAGACGAAGAAGCUCGUUUGUUUUUCAAGCAGUAUCUGUAAUCUGGAAAGCACCCGAGGAGGGCCUCGUAACUAUGGCAACAGCAUUGCCACAAGGAAAUGGCUCUUCCAGCUCCAGGCGUUCAGGCUGGGAGGUUAACUCCGACAACAAAGCCUUUUCUGUGUUGGAGUGGACCCAGGAAAGCCGAGGGCUCUGUGAUGGCAGCCACGUGAAACCUUCAGGCCCAGGACCUGUGAGGGAAAAAUGUUCAUUUCUGCUGCUGCCUUUCCUGCACCCGGAUCAUCUCUUCAGCCUGGCCGUCCUCGUCACAUCACCGGAAGCACUGGGCUCAUGUACACAUUUUUGCCAUUACUCGGAAUCGCUUUCAACGGAGCCCACUAAUCACAUCAGAAAAUGAAUAGCCACACUUUUUUUUGGCCACACCCCCAGCAUGUGGAAGUUCCCAGGCCAGGGACUGAUCCUGGGCCACAGCACAGCAGCUGCAGUGACAACGCUGUAUCCUUCACCCUCUGAACCAUAGACGAAGUCUUCAAAACUUUUUUUUUUUUUGAUUUUUAGAGCCACACCCAUGACAUAUGGAGGUUCUCAGGCUAGGGGUCCAUUUGGAGCUACAGCCGCUGGCUUCCACCCCAGCCACAGCAAUGCAGGAUCCGAGCAGCGUCUGCAAUUACACCAUGGCUCACGGCAACGCCGGAUCCUUAACCCACUGAGCAAGGCCAGGGAUCGAACCCGCAACCUCAUGGUUCCUAGUCGGAUUCGUUUCUGCUAAGCCAUGACAGGAACUCCAUCUUCAAAACUUUUAAUCAUGCAUCAUUUGGGGCCCAAAUUACAUUACCCAGACAUACCAUCCGUGCCUUCUUCACCAGACUUGGAUGUGUCCUAAGAGAGACUCCCUCUUUCACUAGCGGAGGCAACCAAGACCCCAACAGAGGGAACUGAACCCUCUUCUGAGCAAAGCCGGCGUCGCUGUGGGAAGGUUGGAACCUCCUGAGGUAGCCGCCGUGAGGACAGUUCCCGCUGGGAUGUUGGGGUUCUGACCCCGGACGGUCACAGCCAGCAGCGUUCUGCAGAUGUGAUGCUGUGACCGCGUGACGACUCUACUUAUCUCUAGCGGUGACGGGAACAUGGAAUUCCCUGUAGAGACAACUGGGCAUUUUCCCUGGUGCCCGAACCACCCUCCGCUAACAUAAUACAUGAAAGACACUGACUCUCCCGCUUCCUUGCCUGAUCCUUGAUUACGAUGGUCUGGGUUGUCAGUCAUAACUUUAGUUCUUUGCUUUAAAGAUGAUUUAAACUGGACAUUUUCCAUUAGUAUCUUACAGUUUCCACAAAUAAAGACCUAUAAAAAAAAUUGGAGGCAGCUCCUUAGCGUUCUUCCCCUAAGAAUAUUAUACAAUCAUGUAAACACAGUCUGUUACUUACAUUAAAAGGACUCUAAUCCAGUCUCUCCAUUCAUAGCUGAGUUCUCCUUACAGAAUUUCAUAUGCCUUAAAAGAAUUCUCUUUAGGAGUUCCGUCAUGGCUCAGCAGAAAUGAAUCUGACUAGCAUCCAUGAGGACACAGGUUCGAUCCCUGGCUUUGCUCAGUGGAUUAAGGAUCUGGUGUGGCUGUGAGCUACGGUCUAGGUCACAGACACAGCUCAGAUCCCACGUUGCUGGGGCUGUGACAUGGGCCAGCAGCAACUACAGCUCUGAUUUGACCCCUAGCCUGGGACCCUCCAUAUGUUGUGGGUGUGGCCCUAAAAAAACAAACAAAAAAAGUAAAAAAAAAAAAAAUUAUCUUGAGAGCCUAGCCAUUUGUCAGGAUUUCUGGCACAUUCCUCCUACAUGUGUCCACCAAGCAAGGCAGCACGUGGGCAAAAAGUGAUGCUCCUUUCUCAGUAAAAGGAAGUGGCAUAGCCACGUUACUCACUUUGUUUGGCCCAUCCCAGCCCUUGCAGAGAGAUUCUUCUGCCCCGUGAUUCUCACCAUCAGGAAGGAAAGGUGAUGUCUGCCAAGCCGCUGACGCCCAGCAUCCAAUGGGAGCCUCUCCUGAGACCAUUUGAAUGAAGGGGUGCGCCUGGCCAGACAGAGAUGAGACAGGUCUGUGAGGUGGGCCAGUGCAGGGGCUGCUGAUCCCUGGGAGUCCUGUGCAUGCUGAUAAACCAGCACUGACGCUGAAAAGUGAAAGAGGCAGACAUGCGGAAAGGAGCUCAGAUAAAAAUCCCCGGGGCCGCAGAAAGGGAGUGGCACCUGACAACUCCUUAGCUCCCUGGAGGCAAU